GUGCCAGCAGCCGCGGUAAUACGUAGGUCCCGAGCGUUGUCCGGAUUUAUUGGGCGUAAAGCGAGCGCAGGUGGUUUAAUAAGUCUGAUGUAAAAGGCAGUGGCUCAACCAUUGUGUGCAUUGGAAACUGUUAGACUUGAGUGCAGUAGAGGAGAGUGGAAUUCCAUGUGUAGCGGUGAAAUGCGUAGAUAUAUGGAGGAACACCGGUGGCGAAAGCGGCUCUCUGGACUGUAACUGACACUGAGGCUCGAAAGCGUGGGUAGCAAACAGGAUUAGAUACCCUGGUAGUCCACGCCGUAAACGAUGAGUGCUAGUUGUUUGGGGCUAUCCAGCCCUAAGUGACGCAGCAAACGCAUUAAGCACUCCGCCUGGGGAGUACGACCGCAAGGUUGAAACUCAAAGGAAUUGACGGGGGCCCGCACAAGCGGUGGAGCAUGUGGUUUAAUUCGAAGCGACGCGAAGAACCUUACCAGGUCUUGACAUACCAGUGCUAUUCUUAGAGAUAAGAAGUUACUUCGGUACACUGGAUACAGGUGGUGCAUGGUUGUCGUCAGCUCGUGUCGUGAGAUGUUGGGUUAAGUCCCGCAACGAGCGCAACCCCUAUUGUUAGUUGCCAUCAUUAAGUUGGGCACUCUAGCGAGACUGCCGGUAAUAAACCGGAGGAAGGUGGGGAUGACGUCAAAUCAUCAUGCCCCUUAUGACCUGGGCUACACACGUGCUACAAUGGUUGGUACAACGAGUCGCAAGCUAGUGAUAGCAAGCUAAUCUCUUAAAGCCAAUCUCAGUUCGGAUUGUAGGCUGCAACUCGCCUACAUGAAGUCGGAAUCGCUAGUAAUCGCGGAUCAGCACGCCGCGGUGAAUACGUUCCCGGGCCUUGUACACACCGCCCGU
rnacentral:rRNA from 1 species